UUAUAAUUGUUGUUGUGUA
rnacentral:sRNA from 1 species